rnacentral:pre_miRNA from 11 species
UCUGUGUGUGUGUGUGUGUGUGUGGUGGAAUGGCAGUGUAUUGUUAGCUGGAUGAGUAUCUCAAUGCCCCCAGCUGACAUUCAGCUGCCAAUCUACGGCACAUAUUUGGAUCAUCAAACCAC